GUGGGGAAUAUUGCACAAUGGGGGAAACCCUGAUGCAGCGACGCCGCGUGAGUGAAGAAGUAUUUCGGUACGUAAAGCUCUAUCAGCAAGGAAGAAAAUGACGGUACUUGACUAAGAAGCCCCGGCUAACUACGUGCCAGCAGCCGCGGUAAUACGUAGGGGGCAAGCGUUAUCCGGAUUUACUGGGUGUAAAGGGAGCGUAGACGGUAUGGUAAGUCAGAUGUGAAAGCCCGGGGCUCAACCCCGGGACUGCAUUUGAAACUAUCAGACUGGAGUGCAGGAGAGGUAAGUGGAAUUCCUAGUGUAGCGGUGAAAUGCGUAGAUAUUAGGAGGAACACCAGUGGCGAAGGCGGCUUACUGGACUGUAACUGACGUUGAGGCUCGAAAGCGUGGGGAGCAAACAGGAUUAGAAACCCGGGUAGUCC
rnacentral:rRNA from 1 species